AUUGAGACGUCUGUAUGUAUUUGUUGCUAUUUCUGCGCUAGUGUGAGUGCAUGUCUGCACGUAGGCCAGACGCACACUUACACGCACACCGGUGUGCAGACGGUAAAAAACACAAGAACACACGGCGACAGCAUAAAAAUAAACAUAUGCUGUACAAACAUACAAGAAGGAGUUUGGUAGCAAACGGAGGCAAAGAAGUUAACUGGAAAAACGUUACCCAAUGAGCACUUAGGAGUGGAACUAAAAUACUGGAGGGGACAAUUAGCAAGGUGUGAAUUUAUUCAGAUUUUGAAAUUCACCAAUAACUGUUAAAAGCUGUCACUUGAUAUUCAAUACUCUCCCACCAAAGAAAAGGUCGACUGUGCAACGGCUUAGUCCAUUUAAGUAUGUAUGAAUACACAGGAAGACCAAAACAUAUAACCAGACUAUGAAUUUUUUAUAACUGAAGUCCAACAUUAACGUUUAAUACACACAUAAGUUCAAACUUGUAAAGCUUAUUUUAGCUUGCAACUUUCCAUUAAAAUUUUUAAUUAUAACAUUACAGAUUUUUUCACUGUGUAAAAGUGAAUCUUUCAGAUACGCAACGCACUCUCUCUUUCUCUCUCAAGCAACAAAUACAGACUCGGAUUCAAAUGCAGGCGAACAACAACUGCAUGUCGUAAUGCUGUUGAUGUAAUAAACAAGAGAGCAGCAACAACAAAGUAAUGACCAGGAAGAGCGAUGGCGAAAGAAAAGCUUAGCAAAACAAAAUUGUGACAAAGAACGAUAAAUAAAAAGGAGACUGACCAAGUUAAUAGAAGCUGAAAUCUAACUGGAAUUCGUGGCCCAAGUAUGUAUAUACCUGUUAUAUGAUGCAGUAAUAGUGCUUUAAUUUUAUGAGACCAAUUAAAAAGGAAUAAACUGGACAUAAAAUAACAGCAAAAUAAUUUUGUUUCUAAGUUCUUCGUUUUUUUAUGGCUUACGAAGUUAAUACAUAGGUCCGUUCAAACAUCUUUGAAGUUGAACUUUCAAUAGUCACGGCAGCUUUUAAGUCAACGGUAUUUAUUAAGAGAAGCUGCUUGUAACCUUCUAAAAAACAUGUUAAUGUAAAUGAUUAAAAUUAAUAACUGAAUCGUGAUUGAUAACUAUUUAUUUACCUAAAAAUAAUUUAAUUUAAUUUAAUAACCAUAAAUUUAUGACUGAUUUAUUGCUAUAAUAAAACUGUUCCCAGUGAGUGUGGUCUAAGAACAGUUUCCGCGCUCAGAGAGCAACUUUCUGAGAGCGAGAGAGCGUUGCAACAUAAAAACAAAAACGAAUGCGAUAGUCCAGUGUUUCGACUAUCAGAUUCCUGUUACUUAGAUAAACAAUUUCACAGAACGCGGUAAAACUCCUUCCGCUGCGUAUUUAACCCUAGAAUCUAAGUCUGCAAUGCAAAUUGCUGUACCAUAAACACAGUUAAUGCCCCAGAAUUCGGCGCAAAACUAGAAAAACACAUACUUUUUAUAUGUAAAAGCUAAAUCUCAAAAUUUUAGUAGCGGAUAGGCCGACAAAAUAAAAUAGCAACCCGUUUGAUGAACUAACUCAUAAAAUUUUUUACUUUGUGCACGGGGUAUAAAAUCAGCUCUCCGCUGCUAGCACUCACAACAUAGAUAUGUAUGUGGUUGUGUGCUUUAUGCAAUGCCUGUCAACGGGAGAGAGGUGGUACUGUGGUCGGGGGCGGGUGCCCGAUUGCUGCAUGCAGGUUAAUUCUACUCUCACUGCUAUUGUUGUUGUAUUUGCCAGACAGCGAUUCAAGAAGACAAAACAGGAAAAUGAAAAAUAAUUGAAUUGUAAGGCAACGUUUGUAGCAGAGGAGACGAAGAGAUGGAAAAGAGGGGAAUAACCACCGCAGACAUUUGCAAUUGGCAAUAAAUAAAAGUGCAAGAAGAAGAA